rnacentral:rRNA from 1 species
GACGAACCGAGCGAACGUUGUUCGGAAUCACUGGGCUUAAAGGGCGCGUAGGCGGGCUGUCAAGUCUGGGGUGAAAUCCCGCGGCUCAACCGUGGAACUGCCUCAGAUACUGACGGUCUCGAGGGGGAUAGGGGCGAGCGGAACUGUGAGUGGAGCGGUGAAAUGCGUUGAUAUUCACAGGAACUCCGGUGGCGAAGGCGACACACUGGCCCGUUACUGACGCUGAGGCGCGAAAGCGUGGGGAGCAAACGGG